rnacentral:lncRNA from 13 species
AUGCUGAUCCCAUUAUCUGGAAAGAGAGGAACUUCCUUACAGCUAAUGGGUCUGCCAUUAAGCAUCAUCAGGAAAUUAAUAGACUGUUAUCCUCAGUUUGAAAUGGCAGUAAUACAUUGUAAAUGUCACCAAACAGGGAUAGAUGAAGUAACUGAGGGAAAUCUGUUGGCAGACCAAGCAACUAAAUCAGCAGUCAGAGGGCGCCAGAUUUUUGAUUCACUUGAAGGCCCACUGAUCUGGGAGAGCCCCAUCAGAGAAAUAAAACCUCAACACUCUCCCAUGGAAAUAGAAUGGGCCACCUCUUGGGCAUAUAUUUUUCAGUCCUCAGAUUGGCUACAAUCAAAGGAUGGCAAUCAUCUACCAGCUGCCAACCAAUGGAAAGUUCUUAAAAACCUUUGCCAGACCUUCCACCUAGGUGAUGUUGGACAAGAAGAAAAUUAUGGAUCUAUCCAAGUUUUCAUCCAUUGGCCCUACUGGAUAAAUUUUAAGGUGAAAAAUGUGAGACACAAAAGAAUUUUCCUUUUGACGACAAGAGUUAUACCUGUUUGACCAUUAAAUGACCAUUUAAAUCACAUUAAAUGAAGACCUCCAUCAUCAUCAUCAUCAGAUGCACUUCAAUUUAUGAAAGUCUCGGAUUGGUGAGCACAUCAGGUCCAACUCGCCUAGCUGUCAUCAGUUAAUAAUUCAUAAAGGAGAAGGAAAAAUUUCCUCCAGAAUCAAAACCCCUGCCUGGCUCUUUGAUUGAAAGUACCAUACGAUGAUUUAUUUUUCAGUUUUUUUUUAAGUCCCCAAAGCACUCUGUCUCAGGUUGCAAGUACUACCAGGUGACUUUGGCAAAAUCAAACUAAAAUGUAUUUAAUGGGUGGACAUGAUGUAGCUCACAGGGUUUAAAUGAAGGCUAGCGAGCUAAACUCAAAACAGAUACAAAAAGAAAGCUGUAGAGACUCAAUGGUCCUGAUUGUUAGGUUGUUUCUACAUUGUUAGGAUGGAUGAACAAAUUCUAAUUUUUCGCUUGUCUUAGUCACUCCCCUAAUGAUUCGGUUUCUGAGAGAGAUGGUUGAUUGGUUAAACUCAGUUUGAUUACUUGCCCACUCAUUCUCUGCUGUAUUUUUGCAGUGAGAAGAAUUACUAGUUUUGAUGGAAGAAACCUCCAGGGUUUCAAAUUUUCUCUUCUCUUGGUGGCAGAGCACAGCACCUUAUGUUCCCAUUCUUAGCAACAGUGAUAGUGGUUGUGUGGUAGCCAUAAAACAAAACAAAACAAAAAUGCCUGUAAUCAGUUUUUCUUGUUGUAUGAAUGUAAAAUGUUUGAAGAAUAUAACUUUAAUAAUUUUUUCCUUAAAGUAAAAAACAACAUUUUCAGAAAAAUAGUCUGCAAUGAAGUUUUGGGUCAAUAACAUGCUUGCUAGGUAAAUUAUCAACAAUAAGGUACAAAAAUACAUGCUUGAAAAAAAUGAUAAAGUCAGCUCAUUUAAGCCACUUGAUUCUUCAUCCCCUCUUUCCUGCUAUUGUACUCUACUUUGAAAACCAAGCCGAGGAGCAACUAAAAGUUUCAGGCUUUACAAUGACAUGUCUUUGGCAAAAUCUCCUGCUCCGUCCCCAGAUGUAGUCAUUCCCUAGAUGCUCGUAACCUAAUGUAAUUUCCUCAAUGCAAAUUAACUGAUUUAUUUGAGGCUUUCCCCGACACUGACUAUUAAUUCUUGGUGGAGGUGAAGCCCGAGGUUGGUAAUGUGAUGGUAGUGGAGAGAGUGAAUUAUGACGGUGCUGAUUUCUUGGAGCCUUCUAUAAAAUGUUGAAGGAUUAUUCAAGGCCUUGCCAUUACAAAUAAGCUAGUACAAAACAAAGAUGCAGUCUUCAUUCGAUAUAUAAUACAAGUAUUGAGCUAACACAGUAGAAUGGGAAAAGCUUUAGAAAGAAAUGAAAACAGUUUUCUGCCUGCAUGAAAGACACAGGAAAAAGCCACUUCAACAUGGAUCGUGUGUGCACGUUUUCUAUGCAUUUCUCUGUCUAUACAUAAAAAACAAAACGUUUUGACUGGUAAGCAAUUGGCAAUGAUUCAUUUUUAUUCACUGCUGUCUAUAACGGGAUUAAACAAUUACAAUUUGUCUUACCAUCUGAGACUCUCCCUGGGGUUGGGUGCCUCUGCUCUGCUGCUCACUUUUGCUUAAGUUUGUACCUUCUCAUUAACUGAUUUGUCCUAAAAAUAACUUUGAAAGUCUCAGAUCCUGAGCUGUUAGCAGUUAGCCUGCAAAGCGAAGGUUACAAAAUCAGCAUCUGGCUAGAGCUCAAAAAGCUGACUCUGUUCUCAUUUUUAAGGCUAAGAUAAAGAAAUGUAUAUUUAAAUCUGCUUCUAAUUAGCUCUUAAACUGUAAAACACUGAAGGCUAUCACGAAGGAAGUGUCUCAUUCUAGUGAAGAGCUUGUUGCUUCAUUCCUGGGUUCAGAAUUCCUUAUAGCAUCUCUCCUAGACGUGAAACCUACCACCUCUUGUCUAUCCCAGAAAAUCUCCAGGGUAAAACAUGCAAUAAUGGUACUCUGUUUUGUGGUUAAAUAUUUUCAUGAGGAAGUUUUGCAUUUUUGAGAAACAAACUUAUCAACCUACCUUAAGUUGAUCUAAUUCUGGAUGUUUGAGAAUCACUGCAUUUGAGAGUGCCAGAAUUUAUUUGAUAAUAUUUGCAUUUCAUCCUUGAGAUAACUAUUUACAAGUUUGACUAAACCAAUUUUUAACUUUCAUAAUAAAAGACAGAGAAAAGAAACA